UUGAUGAAUGGGGAGGCGCAUGGUCCAAUCAGAUUGCGCGGGCCACGUCACGCACCCCGAGCGGACUAUGGGCUCGACCCGACCCGAAAAGCGGCUAGCCCGUGCAUAGAUAUAAGGGGCACGCACAUCACGGAGAGCAUUCCGCGGUCGAAUUUCACGCACCAGGUUUGGAUUUGGAAGCCAGACGGACAAGAGGAGAGGAGGAUCAGCGAGUGCGAGGCCGAGUUCAUCAGGUAAGACAAGAUGGUGGCUAAUGGUGACGCACCUGCAAGAGGGAGUGCAGCUGCAGCUGCAAGCCUGCGCCGACGUAGAACCACCGGUGGUGGUGCUGCUGCUGGAGGUGGUGGUGGUGGUGCCAGUACAAUGCUUCAGUUCUACACCGAUGAGGCUGCUGGGCGCAAGAUGUCCCCAAAUGCUGUUCUGAUCAUGAGCAUAGGGUUUAUUGCCGUCGUUGCCGUACUCCAUGUUUUCGGCAAGCUGUACCGCACCCCUAAUUAGCUUCCAUAUAUGAAAACUGAGUUUAUGUGUCUAUGAAUAGCGAAGUCGUAGACUUUGCAUAGCAAAUGACUGUCGGGCCCUGGAAAGAUUUACCUUGUACUCCUAUAAUACUGAGAUGUUAUUGUCGAACCUUUGCAAGGUGUUUUGUCUUGUCA